AUGGGGCUGUCGUCUGUGCUUCUGCUGGCGCUGCUGCUCUUGCCGGCGGUGGCGUCGGCUGGGCAUCACGACUACGGCGACGCCCUCCACAAGAGCAUACUCUUCUUCGAGGGGCAGCGCUCCGGCAGGCUUCCUCCCGACCAGCGCCUCCGCUGGCGCCGCGACUCCGGCCUCCACGACGGCGCCGCCGCCGGCGUGGACCUGACGGGAGGGUACUACGACGCCGGCGACAACGUGAAGUUCGGGUUCCCGAUGGCGUUCACGGCGACGCUCAUGUCGUGGGGGCUGAUCGACUUCGGCCGCAGCUUCGGGCCGCACAAGGAGGAGGCGAGGAAGGCGGUGCGGUGGGCGACGGACUACUUCAUGAAGGCCACGGCCAAGCGCAACACGGUGUACGUGCAGGUGGGCGACGCCUCCAAGGACCACUCCUGCUGGGAGCGGCCCGAGGACAUGGACACCCCGCGCACCGUCUACAAGGUCGACCCCUCCCACCCGGGCUCCGACGUCGCCGCCGAGACCGCCGCCGCCCUCGCCGCCGGCUCCAUCGUCUUCCGCGACGCCGACCCCGUCUAUUCCCAGCGCCUCCUCGACCGCGCCAUGGCCGUGUUCAAGUUCGCGGACAGGUACCGGGGCGCCUACAGCAGCAGCCUCCACGCGGCGGUGUGCCCCUGCUACUGCGACUUCGACGGGUACCAGGACGAGCUGCUGUGGGCGGCGGCGUGGCUGCACAAGGCGUCCCGGAGGCGGGAGUACCGGCAGUACAUCAAGAGGAACGAGGUGGUGCUCGGCGCCAGCGACUCCAUCAACGAGUUCGGCUGGGACAACAAGCACGCCGGCAUCAACGUCCUCAUCUCCAAGGAGGUUCUAAUGGGGAAGGACGAGUACUUCCAGUCCUUCCGCGCCAACGCCAACAACUUCAUGUGCACCCUCCUCCCCGGCAUCUCCGACCACCCCCAGAUCCAGUACUCCCCAGGCGGGCUGCUGUUCAAGGUCGGGGGCAGCAACAUGCAGCACGUGACGUCGCUCUCCUUCCUCAUCCUGGCCUACUCCAACUACCUGAGCCACGCGGGCGCGCACGUCUCCUGCGGCGGCGGCGGCGGCAGAUCCGCGCCGCCGACGAAGCUCCGGCAGGUGGCCAAGCGGCAGGUGGACUACAUCCUCGGGGACAACCCGCUGCGCAUGUCCUACAUGGUCGGCUACGGCCCGCGGUUCCCGCGCCGGAUCCACCACCGCGGCAGCUCCAUCCCGUCGGUGGCGGCGCACCCGGCGAGGAUCGGGUGCAAGGCCGGCGCCGCCUACUACGCCAGCGCGGCGCCCAACCCGAACCUGCUGGUGGGCGCCGUCGUCGGCGGGCCCAGCGACGCCACCGACGCCUUCCCCGACGCGCGCGCCGUGUUCCAGCAGUCCGAGCCCACCACGUACAUCAACGCGCCGCUCAUGGGCCUCCUCGCCUACUUCUCCGCCCACCCCAACCCCGCCGAGUGGGCCGACGACUAA
rnacentral:rRNA from 1 species